rnacentral:rRNA from 1 species
UAGAUACCCUAUUAUUUUAAGCUAUAUAUUGGUAGUAAUUAAUAAUUUAUGAAAUCAUAAGAUUUUGGCGGUAUUUUAAGCUUAUUAGAGGAAUUUGCUCUGUGAUGGAUACAACGCCUCGAUCUUACUUAAUUUGGUUUUAAAAGUCAGUUUGUAUACCACUAUAUUUAAUUAUAUUGAAUAAUUAUAUUUAAGAUUUUUAUAAAAAAAAUAUAUUAAGUCAAGGUGCAAUUAAUAAUUAUGAAUGAAGUGAAUUACAUUAAUUUUAAUUUUAUUAAAAUAUUGAAAAAAAAAUUUUUUUAGGAUUUAAUAGUAAAA